rnacentral:rRNA from 1 species
UUUUUAAAACAGGUGUUGCACGACUGUCGAAAGCUCGUGUCGUGAGAUUUUUGGUUAAGUCCUUUAACGGGCGAAACUCUUAUUUUUAAAACUAAAAUUUAUAAGUAAUUGUAGUUUGUUUUAAAAUAAACUAUGACAAAUUUUAAAAAUAUUGCCUACGAUAAGUAGGAUGAAAGUAAGAAACACGUCAAGUCAAUGUGGCCUUUAUGAACUGGGCUACACAUGUGCUACAAUGGAAAUUACAAAAAGAAACAAUAAUUAUAAAUUGGAGUUAAUCUUUAAAAAUUUUCGAAGUUCGGAUUACAGGUUGAAACUCACCUGUAUGAAGUUGGAAUCACUAGUAAUCGCAAAUCAGCAGUAUUGCGGUGAAUUUGUACCUUGGCCUUGUACACACCGCCCGUCACAUGUAGGGAGUUAAUUUUAUCUGAAAUUUGU